CCGCGUCCGCUUUGCCCUGCAAUUUUCCCAGUGCCGGUUUCUAGUGCUCGCUGUCCAACUUGAGGGUAUUUUUGCUCUCGCUCAGAGUUCAACCGUCCACCCCGGCCGUUUAGUCCCGUGGUCACAAGGAGCAGUUGCUGUGUUAGGACCCAGUGGAUGAUGAAACUCACCAGAGACCACAUAGCUAGAGAAUGGCCAGACUCAGUUUUGAAUCUAAGCAAUCUUGACUCCAGAGCCCUCCAGCUUAAAGGAUGGCCGUCUGAGAGUGACUUCUGAUGGCCUCGCCAGCAACCACACAAGGUCUCUUACGGCUAAGACUCUGGAACUCACACAGCGUUGCUUUUGUCACCGUCUGUUGGUCAAGGACAGUCUCAAGGCCCACCCAGAUUCAAGGGAGUGGAGAGAUAGCCUCUGCAUCUUGAUGGAAAGGGUGGCAACAUCAUACUGCAAAAAUGCAUGUGGAUACAGGAAAGUGUGACUCAUUGGGGAGCAUUAUUAUAAUGUUUUUCCAUAGCUGACAUUUCCCACAGGAUAACAUUCUGCUUGCCAGCCUUCCUGUUAUGCCCACAGCUUCCUUUAAAUAGGGGUGCUUGGGUGGCUCAGUCGGUUAAGUGUCCAACUCUUGAUUUCAGCUCAGGUUAUGAUCUCACGGUUGGUGAGAUUGAGCCCUGUGUCAUGCUCUGCGCUGACUGCAGGGAGCCUGCUUGAGAUUCUCUCUCCCUGUCUCUCUGCCCUUCUCCCACGCUUGCUCUCUCCCUCUCUAAACAAACAAACAAACAAACUUUAGAAAUAAAUAAACAAACAAAUGGAAUAGUUGAUAUGGUUUCAUACUUUGUGCCGUGUAACUCCACCACCUGGCUGUAAGAAGUUGGACUGGAAAUUAGUGCUUAUAUUAGUUAGGAUUAGAACCACAUUCCAGUGAGACAAAAUCCCACAUGGCUGGGUUUAAACAAGAUAGAAGUUUAUUUCUGGCUCUUGUCAAAGUCCAGAGGUAGGUUCUUCAGGAUUGGUAUUGGCCCCUUCUAUCUGUUGCUCCAUUGAGCAACAGUACCUCCCAUUUUUAAGGUUGCCUCAUGAUCCAGUAUGGCUGCCAAAGCUCAAUUAUCACAACCAAUUCCACCCAACAGGAAGGGAGAGGGGGAGGAAAAAUAGAACCCACUCUAUUUAAGGAUAUUUUCUGGAAGUUACACAUCCAUCUUCCUCUUAUAUCCCAUUGGCCUGCACUUAGUCACAUAGCCAUACUUAUCAACACAGGAGAUUGGGAAAUGUACUGGUGGCCAUGUGACUGGCCAAAAAUCCGGAGUUCUAUUACUACAAAAUAAGGAGAGAGUAGAUACUGAUGGGUGAUCAGCAGUCUCUAUCACAGGGCUUGACCUAAAGGCAUGUAAUGUGGCCUGGUAUGAGAUAUAUGCCCAACAGAGAUGUAUGAUUUAUUAACUCGUUCCUUCUGCAAACAUAGUAUACAUUGUGUCCUUUCUACAAGCCAAGCACUGUUCUAGCUACUAAAAAUAGGGUAGUAAACAAAGCAAAGUCCCUGCCUUCCUUCAGUUAAUAAACUCUAGUUGGGAAAGAUAGGCAAUAAACAGUAUAUUGUAAAAUACUGAUUUUGUGCUAUGAAUAAUUGGUGUAGGCAAGGGGAUAUAUAGUUAAGGCAUGUGGGUAGGAAGGGAUAUUUAUUUUAGGUAGGUGACAUGUGAGCAAGGACACGAAUGAGGUGAGGAACAGCCACGAAGUUCUAGGGGAAAAGGCACAGGCCAAGAGAGCCGUGACUUCAAAGGCCUUAAAGCAGGAGCAUGUUUGGAAUGUUUGAAGUAGGAAUCUGGCGUAACUAGAAAAGGAGCUGGGGGAGUGAUAGGAGAUGGGGAUGUGGAGAUAGCCGGAGAUUAGACUAUAAUAAGGACUGGGUAGUGGAGUGUAAGAUACGCUUUCUUUAGGAGUCUGAAGGCAAAGUUGUGUCAGGGGUUCACAAGGUCACCCCCAGGUUCAAUAAUUUGCUAGGAGGAUUCACAGGGCUCAGCGUACAGUCAGACUUAAUGGCUAAAAUAGUAACAGGAUGCAGAGCAAAGGGAAAAAGUGCAUAAGACAAAAUGUGGAGGAAAUCAAGUACAAGCUUCCGAGAAUCUUCAGUGGAGUCACACAAGAGGAACUUAUUUCCUCCAGUGACAAACUGUGACAACAGGUAUGAAAUGCUCUCUACCGGGGAAGCUUAUUACAGACUCAGCACCCAAGGUUUUUUUGAGGAUUGGUUACAUGGGUGUCCUUGUCCUGGUCCAUGCCAAAUUCCUGACUGCCAGAAGGAAAGUAUGUAUUUAGCAUAAGCCAUUACUGUUUGCACAAACAGUUGAGGCAGCUUGAGCUACUCUUACCAUUUAGCAAAUGGUCAGAACCCUCCUGAAACCUAAGUUCUCAGAUGCUAGUCAAGGGCCAGCCUUGCAAGCAGGUCUUUCUAAGAACAGCAGUCCCGGGGCCUUUUAUUAACUGUUUUCUGUACAAAAGCACACAGAGAGAUGCUCCAAGCAAAGUGAAAUAGGAACCAGAAAACUAAGCAGAGACUAAGCCAACUCCAUGAGCUAAUAGAGGCAAUGAGUAAAUAAAAUUCAUGAGAUAAAUAAACUAGCCAGAGGGCAGUAAUAACAGCAGGAGGAAGAAACAGAGAAGAAAGAAGCUGAAUCAAGUGAAUGGAAGGGUAUCUUGUGCAAGAGGAAUUCCCAUCUAUAUGACAACAACCCCAGUAUUGCUUUUGGGACAUUAGAAUUGCUCUGUGGUCCUAGGGACUGAUGAACAAUGCUCUGCUUCUUCCUGAGGCCUGAUUGUUCCAUUAAAAUGGCUCCAUUUCCUCGCCUCCUAAUUUCUUUUUGUACCUUUGUAAUAAAUUCCAAUCAUCCAGGAUCAGAAACAUGCCUUGUGCUGUGCUCCUUGAAACCUGAAAGCACCUCACUAAUACACCUGGGUUUUCAGCCAUUCAAAACAUAGACUUAAAGAGGAAAACUAAUAUGGUGGCCAAGGGGUCACUGGCCAACUGGGUGAAGGACCAAGAUUCAUAGCAUAGAGUGAAACUCCCCACCUACCGCCGUGAAGCCAUGUUCCAGUCAUAUCAAACUAUGCACAACUAUACUCACAUGCAAAGUGGACUUUUAUUCCUUUUUGAUUUUGGUCAUGUUUUUCACUCUGUUUAGAAUUUCAGGGGUUUCAUACUUACGCAUACCUAGCUCAAAUGCUGUUUGCAUUAUCUAUGAAGCCUCUAUGACCACCUCUCUCCCCUCACUCUUCUCUGGCCUCUCUGGAGUGAUUCUUUCCCUCUGCACUGCUAUCUCAGCUAUUGGUACAUAUUUCUGUAGUAACGAUUACAAAGGAUAUUGUAAUCAACUAUUUAGGCAUUUUCUCUGAAACAAAUUAUGUUCCUAGCACAAUGCUUCAUAAAUGGUAAUUAAAAAAAAUUUUUUUUUAACAUUUAUUUAUUUUUGAGAGAGAGAGAGAGAGAGAGAGACAGAUCACGAGUGGGCAAGGGGCAGAGAGAGAGGGAGAUAGAGUAUAUGAA